CCCUUAGAUGUUCUGGGCGGCCCGCGCACUACAUUGGCACUGUCAGCAAGGGUCUGAAACUAAAACUUUUGGGUAUUCUGAGAACCGGUGUCGUGACUGGGAUUGACCCUUGCAAUUAUUGGUUAUGAACGAGGAAUUCCUUGUAAUCGCGGUUUAUCAGCCCGCGUUGAAUGCGUCCCUGCCCUUUGUACACACCGCCCGUCGCUCCUACCGAUGAAUCGUCCGGUGAAGUUCAUGGAGUAGUGGUUGUUCCAUCCGCUGUCGAAGUGAAAUAAACCUCAUGAUUUAGAGGAAGGAGAAGUCGUANCA
rnacentral:rRNA from 1 species